GGCUAUCGCCUGGGAGCGGUCGGGGGAAGACGGGGGCUGGGAGGGUGGACCGGAGGCAGUGGGCGGAAAGGGGGGUGGGGCGGCUUGAGAAGUCACUGUGUAAAUCCGUGUGCGCAAGGGCGGGGCGGCAGGUGAGACUGUCUGGCUGGAGGUUGGUAGGGGCGAGUGGAAGUCCCGGUGUAGCGGUGGAAUGCGUAGAGUUCGGGAAGAACACCGGUGGCGAAGGCGGCUCGCUGGGCCAAUGCUGACGCUGAUGCGCGAAAGCGUGGGGAGCAAACAGGAUUAGAUACCCGAGUAGUC
rnacentral:rRNA from 1 species